rnacentral:tRNA from 1 species
AUUUAAAUAGUUUAGUGAAAAUAUUGAUUUGUGGUGUCAAUGACAAGAAUUUAUUUCUUUUUAAAUU